GAGAGAGAGAGAGAGAAACUCCAGUCUGAGGAACAACACUACACGAGGAGGAACAACAUUAUUUCCUGAAACCUUCAAGGCCAAACUCCCAAGGGACAAGCCUGUCAUUGCACUUUCACAAAAUAUCUGUGUUUUGUUUUUCAAAACACAUCACUAAAAUCGAAUAUACGCAAGGAAUACGAAGUAAACACAUAAAAUCGGAUUUUUAGUCAUUUUAAGACUUGUUAAUUUCUUUGUUUUGUUAGGUGCUUCACUGUUUUUAAUGGGUAUUCAUUUUUGUCUCCUGCCCCUCUGUUUUUGUUUUCUUCCCCCCCCCCCCGACAUGUUUUUCACAUAGCACCAAAACCCAGCACUGAAAAAGGCAACCAAAAGCAGCUGACAAAGAGAAAGUAAAGGAGAGUUGCACCAUUGAAAGAUCAUUCAAAGAAAUGGGUUGAGAAUCGAAAAUGCCGAACCCCAGCAGCUAAUAAUCAAAACCCAGAAAUCAUUCUCGUCUUUUUAUUAUACAGAUUCUAUGGUUACUUGUGAGGCAUUAGUUACCAGUAAUUACUUGCUUUGUUUCAUAUGUAUUUGGACCGUUGGAUUCUCUUGAUCAGGAAUUAAGCACAGGUACUGACUGUGACAUUUGAAGACUUGCAUAUUGUUUCUUAACAUCGAAAAUGGUUGUUUUGUUUUCAUAAAAAAAAAUGGUUUUCUUCUGAUCCAUCACCUCGUUUUCGGAAUCAAGAGUUGUAAACCGUAAUCUGUGGUUGGAAUAAGGAGGUGGUGGUGUUGAGUACUUGAGCCAUGGCGACUGUGAAGCACGCGGAUUCUAAAGGCAUGUAUUCAUGGUGGUGGAACAGCCACAUAAGCCCUAAAAAUUCAAAAUGGCUUCAGGAGAAUCUCACAGACAUGGAUGCUAAAGUCAAGCAAAUGAUCAAACUCAUUGAAGAAGAUGCUGAUUCCUUUGCUAGGCGAGCAGAGAUGUAUUACAAGAAACGCCCAGAGUUAAUGAAAUUGGUAGAAGAGUUUUAUCGAGCGUACCGUGCAUUGGCUGAAAGAUAUGAUCAUGCAACCGGGGUGCUUCGUCAGGCUCAUCAGACCAUGACAGAAGCAUUUCCAAAUCAAGUUCCCGUCGCACUUGUAGAUGACUCACCUGGAGGUUCUGCUACUGAGGUUUACCCCCGAACACCUGAGGUGCCACCACCAGUAAGGGCACUAUUGGAGCUUGACGAGCUGCAGAAGGGUGCUUUGGAACUCUCUUCACAUGCUAUCAAAAGGAAUAAAGCUUUCAUAGAAGGAUCUGAAUCUGUAACUAAUAGGAAGGGUCUGAAACAGUUCCAUGAUUUGUUUGGUUCUGAAGAAUCUACAAACCGUGUGAAGUUUAUGGAAGGUAGGGAAAGAAAAGGCCUUUUUUUUCAUGAUAGCGGGGAGAAAAAACAAAGUCUCCCAAACAAUGGGGGCCCUGAUCUUAGGGCUCGAGUCCCGUCCGAAUCUGAGAGAGUGACUAAAGCUGAAAUGGAAAUUUCCACCUUGAAGAGCGUUCUUUCUAAAUUAGAAGCUGAAAAAGAAGCUGGCCUACAAGAGUACCAGCAGAGUUUGGAGAGAUUGUCUAGUCUAGAGAGAGAAGUCUCUCGUGCACAAGAAGAUUCCUGGGGACUUAAUGAACGAGCAAGUCAAGCUGAAGUUGAAGUUCAGACUUUGAAGGAUGCCCUCACCAAAGCAGAGGUUGAAAGGGACGCAAAUCUUGUUCAAUACCAACAGUGCUUGGAAAAAGUAAAUAAUCUUGAGAAUAAUAUUUCUCAUGUGCAAAAGGAUGCUGGAGAACUGAAUGAGCGAGCUAGUAAAGCUGAAACUGAAGCCCAAGCCUUAAAGCAGGAUAUUGCCCGAGUAGAAGCUGAAAAGGAGGAUGCUCUUGCCCGUUACAAGCAGUGUUCAGAGAAAAUAAUCAAUCUGGAAGAAAAAUUAUUGAAUGCUGAAGAAAGUUUCAGAAGGAUGACUGAACGAGCAGAGAGAGUUGAAAGUGAACUUGAAACUUUAAAACAAGUAGUUUUUGAGCUCACCAAAGAUAAGGAAGUAGCUGAGCUUCAGUACCAGCGGUGCUUAGAGACAAUUUCUAGCCUGGAACACAAACUUGCUUGUGCCCAAGAGGAGGCUCAAAGGCUCAACAGUAAGAUAGAUGAUGGGGCUGCAAGCUUAAAAGGUGCUGAAGAAAGGUGUAGUUUGUUAGAGAGGACCAAUCGGAGUUUGCAUACUGAAUUGGAGUCUUUGGUGCAGAAGGUCGGGGAUCAGAGUCAAGAACUAACAGAGAAGCAGAAGGAAUUGAGGGGACUUUGGACUUCCUUACAAGAGGAGCGUUUGAGGUUUAUGGAAGCUGAAAUAGCAUUUCAAACUCUUCAGCAUUUGCACUCUCAAUCUCAAGAAGAACUCAGAUCAUUGGCGAUGGAGCUUGAGAAUAGGGCUCAAAUCUUACAGGUCACCGAAACUUGUAAGCGAAAUUUAGAGGAAGAACUACAGAGGGUCAAGGAGGAGAACAAGGGCCUGAAUGAACUCAAUUUAAGUUCAGUAAUGUCCAUCAAGAAUUUGCAAGAUGAAAUCUUAAGCUUAAGGGAGACUAUAGCUAAACUUGAAGCAGAAGUUGCACUUAGAAUGGACCAAAGAAAUGCUCUUCAGCAAGGAAUUUGCUGUUUGAAAGAGGAACUCAAUGCCUUUAGCAAGAGACACCAAGAUAUGACAGGGCACUUGGAGUCAGUUGGCUUAAAUCCAGAAACCUUUGCAUCAACUGUGAAGGAAUUACAGGAUGAGAACACAAAGCUAAAAUAUGCCUGUGAGAGAGACAGAAAUGAAAAGGUGGAUCUCCUACAGAAGUUGAAAACAAUGGAGAAACUUAUUGAGAAAAAUGCCCUUUUAGAGAAUUCAUUGUCAGAUUUGAAUGUCAUGCUAGAAAGUGUUCAUGGGAGAGUAAAGGCAUUGGAAGAAUCCUGUCAAUCUCUUUUGACAGAGAAAUCCACACUUGCUGCUGAGAAGGACGCACUUAUCUCUCAGUUACAGAUUGCAACUGAGAAUCUGGAGAAGCUUUCAGAGAAGAAUAACGUGCUGGAGAAUUUCCUUUUUGAUGUAAAUGUUGAACUUGGAGGAUUGAGGGUAAAGGUAAUGAGCUUAGAAAAUUCAUGCCUACUGCUUGGUGAUGAGAAGUCUGGCCUGAUAAGACAAAGAGAAGGCUUGAUUUCUGAGUUGAGUAUCAGUCAGAAAAGGUUAGAAGAUUCGGAAAAAAGAUAUCGGGGUUUAGAAAAAAAAUACAUGGGCCUGGAGAAAGAGAGAGAAUUAACACUUAGUGAAGUAGAAGAGCUACAAAAGUUACUAGAUGCAGAAAAGCAAGAAUAUGCCAGUUUCAUGCAGUUGAAUGAAACCCGAGUUACUGCUAUGGAAUCUCAGAUCCGUUUUCUACAAGGGGAAAGUCUAUGCAGAAAGAAAGAAUAUGAAGAGGAAUUGGAUAGGUCCAUGAAUGCUCAUGUAGAAACCUUCAUCUUGCAGAAAUGUGCACAAGAUAUGGAAGAGAAGAAUUUAUCCCUAUUGCUUGAGUGUAGGAAACUCCUAGAAGCCUCCAAUUUUUCUGAAAAACUUAUCUCUGAAUUGGAGCUCAGAAAUUCUGAAAAAGAGAUGGAGAUAAAAUCCUUAUUUGAUCGAAUUACUAUACUGAGGAUGUGGCUUUAUCAAAUACUGAUGGCUCUUGAAAUUGAUGUCCAUGGUUAUGAUGAUGAGAUCAAACAAGACCAAUUAGUUAUUGACUGUAUAUUUGGAGGGAUCCACAAGAUGCAAAACUCACAUUUAAAGUCUCUAGAUGAUAAUCAGCAAUUCAUAAUUGAGAAUUCAGUUCUUAUUGGAUUGCUUGGGCAACUGAAACUUGAGGCAAAAAAUCUUGCUACAGAGAAGAACUCACUGCACCAGGAGUUGAAGGUUCAGUCCGAGCAGUUCCCAAAAUUGAAGACUUCCCUUUUUAAUACAAAUGCUGAACUUGAAAUAUCAAGAGCAAAACUUAAGAGCUUAGAAAGUUCAUGCCUGCUGCUUGGUGAAGAGAAGUCUGGCCUGCUAACACAGAGAGAAGGUUUGAUAUCUGAGUUGAAUGUCAGACAAAAAAGGUUGGAAGAUUUGGAGGAAAGAAAUCAAGGAUUAGAAGAAAAAUAUGUGAGUCUGGAGAAAGAGAUAGAAUCAACACUUUGUGAAGUAGAAGAGCUACAAAAGUCACUAGAUGUGGAAAAGCAAGAAUAUGCUAGAUUUGUGAAGUCGAAUAAAGCCCGAGUCACUUCUAUGGAAUCUCAAAUCCAUUUUCUACAAGGAGAAAGUCUAUGCAGGAAGAAAGAAUACGAAGAGGAACUAGACAAGGCCAUGAUUGCUCAUGUAGAAACCUUCAUUUUGCAGAGAUGUGCACAAGAUCUCGAAGCGAAGAAUUUAUCCCUAUUGCAAGAGUGUAGCAAACUCUUGGAAGACUCCAGAUUAUCCAAAAAACUUAUCUCCGAGUUGGAGCUUAGAAAUUCCCAAAAACAAGUGGAGAUAGAAUCUUUAUCUGAUCAAAUCACUAUACUGAGGAUGGGGCUCUAUCAGAUGUUGAGGACUCUUGAUUUUGAUGCUAUCCAUGGUUAUGAUGAUACAAUCAAACAAGAUCAAUCAGUUCUUGACUGUAUAUAUGGCAGGAUCCAAAAGAUGCAAAAUUUACUUUUAAAGUCUCUGGAUGAAAAUCAGCAAUUCAUAAUUGAGAAUUCAGUUCUUAUUGGAUUACUUGGGCAACUGAAGCUAGAGGCUAAAAAUCUUGCAAUAGAAAAUAACUCACUGCAUCAGGAAUUGAAGGUUCAGUCUGAGCAGUUUUCAGAAGUGAAGAAUUAUCUUUGUGAUGCAAAUGUUAAAGUUGAAGGAUUGAGUACAAAAUUAAAGAGCUUAGAAAUUUCAUACCAACUGCUUGGUGAUGAGAAGUCUGGUUUGCUAACACAGAGAGAAGGUUUGAUUUCUGAGUUGAAUAUCAGUCAGAAAAGGAUGGAAGAUUUGGAAAAUAGAUAUAAGGGAUUAGAAGAAAAGCAUGAGGUCAUGAAAAAAGAGAGAGAAUCAAUGCUUCAUGAAGUAGAAGAACUACAAAGGUCAUUAGAUGCUGAAAAGCAGCAACAUGCUAGUUUUGUGAAGUUGAAUGAAACCAGGGUUACUUCUACGGAAUCUCAGAUCCAUUUUCUACAAGGAGAAAGUCUGCACAUGAAAAAAGAAUACGAAGAGGAGCUAGAUAAGGCCAUGAAUGCUCAUGUAGAAACCUUCAUCUUGCAAAAAUGUGCACAAGAUCUAGAAGAGAAGAAUUUAUCUUUGGUGCUUGAGUGUAGGAACCUCUUGGAAGCCUCUAAAUUAUCAAAAGAACUUAUAUCAGAAUUGGAGCUUGGAAAUUCCAUAAAACAGACAGAGAUAAAAGCCUUGUUUGAUCAAAUUUCUAUACUGAGGAUGGGGAUUUAUCAGAUGUUGAGGACUCUUGAAGUUGAUGCUAUCUGUGUUUAUGAUGAUACGAUCAAACAAAACCAAUCAGUUCUUGACUGUAUAUUUGGUAGGCUUCAAAAGAUGCAAAAUUCACUUCUAAUGUCUCUGGAUGAAAAUCAACAAUUCAUAAUUGAGAAUUCAGUUCUUAUUGGAAUUCUUAGGCAGCUGAAACUAGAGGCUGAAAAUCUUACAACUGAAAAUAAUUCACUACGUAUGGAGUUGAAGGUUCAGUGUAAGCAGUUUUCAGAACUUCAGAACAAAGCUGAAAAAAUUGCAGAUAUGAAUGAAGAAUUGAGAUUAAAAGUGAUAGAGGGAGUUCAAAGAGAAGAAAGUUUGCGGACAGAAAUAGGGAGUGUUUGUGAGCAACUAUCAGAGUUGCAAAGGGCAUAUCAAAGUUCAAUUGAAGAGAACCACAAGGUGCUAGAUGAGAAAAGGACUUUGGUGAAGGAAGUUUCAGAUUUGGGCAAUGAGAAACACAAUCUAGAAGAGGAAAAUUGUGCUGUCUUUGCCGAAGCAAUAUCUCAAAGUAACAUUGCUCUUAUUCUCAAGAAUAUUAUUACUGAUAAUUUUGUGGAAAUAAAGCAUCUCUGUGCCAAUCUGGAUAAACUCAAAUGUUUCAAUGACGAUCUUGAGGGAAAACUGAGGAUAAUGGAGAUCAAGCUUGAAGAAACGCAAAUGGUAAACUUACAUCUCAAGGAUACAAUGCAAAACUUGGAGAAUGAGCUAGUUGCAGUUAGAUCUGUUUGCAAUCAGUUAAAUGACGAAGUUGUGAAGGGAAAUGAUCUAUUAUGCCUGAAGGAGAAGGAGCUUUUGGAAGCAAAGAAGAUGCUCAGUGCAACUCAAGAGGAGAGAACCCAACUGCAUGAAGUUGUGGAGGAUCUGAAGACUAAAUAUGAGGAAGUCAAGCUGAUAGGAAAAUAUCAAAAGAAGCAAAUUCUGAAACUGUCUGGAGACUAUGAUAUUCAAAACAAGGAGAUUGAAAGCAUUCGUCAGACUAAUCAGAGUUUUGAGGCUGAGUUAUCGAAAUUGCAUGAAGAACUUGAAGAAUGGAAAUGUAGGGAAGAGAGUUUGCGUGUUGAACUACAAAAGAGAAGAAAUGAGGUUGAACUUUGGGAGACUCAAGCUACUGCAUUGUUUGGUGAGCUACAGAUUUCUACUGUCCGUGGAGCAUUGCUUGAGGAAAAGGCUUGUGAGCUCAGUGCGGAACGUGAAGUCCUUGAAAGUAGAAGUAAGUCCAACGCUAUGGAAGUAGAAGAGCUGGAAAAAAGUGUUAGAAUCUUGGAAUGUGAGAAUGGAGGACUUAAAGCUCAGUUGGCAGUAUAUGUUCCAGCUGUUGUUUCUCUCUCCGAAAGUGUGACAUCUUUGGAGAGUCGAACUCUCUUGAAUCCUAAACUUACCACAGAUCAUAACCAAGUAAAGGACGCCACUCUAGGGACUGACUUGCAUGUUGAUAAUUGUCAACAAACAAAUGAAGUUCGAAUUGCCACAGUUCCAGAUGGUUGUUUUGACUUGCAGGGUAUCAACAUGAGAAUUAAAGCUAUUGAAAAAGCAGUGUUGGAAAUGGAAAAGCUUGCAAUGACGGAAAACUUAAAUCUCAAUUCCAAACUAGAGACUGCUAUGAAGCAGAUGGAAGAUUUAAGAAAUGGAAGCAGCUCAGGUCAAGAAAAUGUUGGAGUAAAGAGGCAUGUGAAUGAUAAACAAGUACUGGAACUUGGCCAGGGACUCGGUAACAAUGUCAAAACGCAGAGACUGAUACCUGAAAUCAUUGAAGAGUACAAUGAGAUGAUGACAAAAGAUAUUAUGCUUGACCAGGUAUCUGAGUGCUCAUCUCAUAGGUUAAGCCGGGGAGAAAUUUCAGAAGCUGAUGAUCAGAUGCUUGGGUUGUGGGAAGCCAGUGACCGUGAUGGUAACAUUGAUUUGAGUGGUGAUAAGGCCCAGAAGAUUAUCACCGGACCAUCUGACCAUCAACAAAUUGAUACAGUAAAAGUACACAAUGGCAGUCAGCACUCUACGAAAUCUCAUGUCAAGGAGUUGGGUGUAGAUAAAGAGAAAUCUAAGAGAUUUACAGAGCCAAACCAAGAAGAAAAGAAGAGGAAGAUUUUAGAAAGACUUGAUUCUGAUGCUCAAAAGUUGGCUAAUCUUCAGAUAACUCUACAGGAUCUGAAGAGGAAGGUAGAGAUAACUGAGAAGGGCAAAAAGGGAAAAGAAAUUGAAUAUGGUACGGUAAAAGAGCAGCUAGAAGAAAUUGAGGAAGCUGUCAAAAAACUAUCUGAUUUUAAUCGCAAAUUGAUAAUGCAUGCUAGAGACCCUUCACGGUCCCUUCUUGAUGGGAAAUCUGCAAUAGAUUCUGAUGGGAGCGGAAGUGGUAGGAGGCAAGGAAUAUCAGAACAAGCUCGAAAAGGGUCAGAAAAGAUUGGGCGCUUGCAGUUAGAGGUGCAGAAAAUACAGUUUCUCUUACUGAAGCUUGACGAUGAAAAAGAAAGUAGAGGUCGAACCAAAAUCACUGAACACAAAACAACUGUUUUAUUGCGAGACUAUCUUUACGGUGGGGUAAGAAACAUCAAGAAGAGGAAGAACUCACCCUUUUGUGCAUGCGUGCGACCCCAAACUAAAUGAGAUCAAGGUAAUUACGUAUCAUGGGCACAUAAUUAGUGUAGUUUACCAAUAAUGAGACUAGUUGCAUUGUCAAUAAUGUUCAUCUUCCUAGUUUUGCAUUUCACAUAUCUAAUGUCUUAGAGAAGCUUUCAUCUUCUUUAGUUUCGAGAUCCUACUGUAUAUUUCAGGCACAUCAAAAUGAAAAGAAGCUGCACUUUUAUAGCCUAAAAACUUCCCUUUCUUUAUAAAUUUACCUUGGUAUAAAUCCUAGAUUUCAUUAGAAAUGAUUUUCUUCAGGGCCAAUAAAUAUUGCUUUGCAAUGCUUAAUACUAGCUUUUGAAGUUAUUUCACUUUGUUGUGGAGUGAGCUCUUUUGCAGGGAAACAUUUAAAGUCAUGGCAUUUUCAGCUCAGAUUUAGGUUCAUUAAUGUUUGUAAAACCCGGGAAUGAAAUUAUUGUUGUAGCUAUUUUUAGGUUUUUAGUGUGAUAGCCCGAAAUAGGGCCUAAUCGGAACAGUGGUUUCGUAACCAUAAAUCCGAAGUGAAAUAGUUUAAUUUUAUAAAUUUUUAUUAAUUACCGAUUGAUUGAAAUAUUGUGUGAAAAUAUAGAUAUGAAAUUUUAAUGAUUUAGUGCCUAAUUGAAUUUUUAGGACUAAAUUGAGAAAAAAUGCAAAGGGUCUAUAAUUAGUGAUUAAAUGACUUAAUUGAAUUAUUGCAUGAAAUUGGAAGUGUUUAUGUGGCAAAUAGACCAUAAAUUAGUGUUAUGGACACAUAAGGGUAAUUCUAGAAAAAUAUCUAAGUAAGUGGGUCAAGGGCAUUUUUGUCAAAAUUGAAUAAAAGACAAAAUAAAAUGAAAACAAGUGUUCAUCUUCUUCAAAAAAAAAAGAGCUUGCUGCUGAAAAUUUCAUGUCCUAAUAGCUAGGGUUCUUGAUUUUUCUAAGCUCAAUUAUCAAGAAAGAAGAAAUAGUGGAAGUGAUCGGGGAAAAGAGAAGGUCAUCGACUAAUUUAUGAAAAUAGUCGUUUUGCAUCCGAGGUAAGUUACGUGUAAAUAAUAGCAAUAUAUUUUUAUAAAUUGUGAAUUAUAUUUGAUAUGUGAAUUAAUAUUGAAUGUGGAUGGAAAAUUGUUGAUGAAUUAUUCAAGUGAUAAAGUGUUUAAAAUAAAGUGUUAAAUGUAAAUUCCCGGUUGAACUUAGGAAUAGAAGUGGAUACAAGUGACAUGUCACUAGAGACCAGUGUUACAGUGAGUCCCGGGUGCUGGGUGAUCUAGCAUGUGUUGCGAUUGUGUGAGCAGGCCCGUGGACAUUUCCAGUGUUAUUGAUCAGUGGUAGCUUCGGCUACAUACCAGUGUGGCAUUUAUGUGCUAAUUCUCUACGUAUCCGUGUAUAUUCCGAGUGUUCAACGGGAUUAAUAAUGAGUUAAAAUGAACAUGAAAUGAAGUGUGUAUGCAGGUACAUUUGAAAGAAUGAGCAUAUGUGAUAAAUGUUAAGUGUGUAAAUGUAUUGUGCAAGUGAAUUGGUAAGAUUGUGCAUGUGUAAGUGAUUAAAAUUGCUAAGAAAUGUAUUGCUUAGUUAUAUGUUAAAAAUGUUAAUUAUUAAAUGAGUA